AUUGAACGCUGGCGGCAUGCUUUACACAUGCAAGUCGAACGGCAGCGCGGGGGCAACCUGGCGGCGAGUGGCGAACGGGUGAGUAAUAUAUCGGAACGUACCCAAGAGUGGGGGAUAACGUAGCGAAAGUUACGCUAAUACCGCAUACGAUCCAAGGAUGAAAGACAGGGGACCGCAAGGCCUUGUGCUCCUGGAGCGGCCGAUAUCUGAUUAGCUAGUUGGUGAGGUAAAGGCUCACCAAGGCGACGAUCAGUAGCUGGUCUGAGGAGGACGACCAGCCACACUGGGACUGAGACACGGCCCACGACUCCUACGGGAGGCAGCAGUGGGGAAUUUUGGACAAUGGGCGAAAGCCUGAUCCAGCAAUGCCGCGUGAGUGAAGAAGGCCUCGGUUGUAAGUA
rnacentral:rRNA from 1 species